rnacentral:rRNA from 1 species
GUAGGUGGCAAGCGCUGUCCGGAAUUGUUGGGCGUAAAGCGCGCGCAGGCGGUUCUUUAAGUCUGAUGUGAAAGCCCACGGCUCAACCGUGGAGGGUCAUUGGAAACUGGAGAACUUGAGUACAGAAGAGGAAAGCGGAAUUCCACGUGUAGCGGUGAGAUGCGUAGAGAUGUGGAGGAACACCAGUGGCGAAGGCGGCUUUCUGGUCUGUAACUGACGCUGAGGCGCGAAAGCGUGGGGGGAGCAAACAGGAUUAGAUACCCUGGUAGUCCACGCCGUAAACGAUGAGUGCUAAGUGUUAGGGGGUUUCCGCCCCCCCCUUAGUGCUGCAGCUAACGCAUUAAGCACUCCGCCUGGGGAUACGGCCGCAAGGCUG